rnacentral:rRNA from 1 species
GUAGGGAAUCUUCCGCAAUGGACGCAAGUCUGACGGAGCAACGCCGCGUGAGUGACGAAGGUUUUCGGAUCGUAAAACUCUGUUGUGAGGGAAGAACACGUACCAACUAACUAUUGGUACCUUGACGGUACCUCACCAGAAAGCCACGGCUAACUACGUGCCAGCAGCCGCGGUAAUACGUAGGUGGCAAGCGUUGUCCGGAAUUAUUGGGCGUAAAGCGCGCGCAGGCGGUUCCUUAAGUCUGAUGUGAAAGCCCACGGCUCAACCGGGGAGGGUCAUUGGAAACUGGGGAACUUGAGUGCAGAAGAGGAAAGUGGAAUUCCACGUGUAGCGGUGAAAUGCGUAGAGAUGUGGAGGAACACCAGUGGCGAAGGCGACUUUCUGGUCUGUAACUGACGCUGAGGCACGAAAGCGUGGGGAUCGAACAGGAUUAGAUACCCGAGUAGUCC